AUCGGGGUCCGUUUUCAGCCUCUGGACUACAUUUCCCAGAGAAAUCCGCAGGCCCACGCUAUGUCCCGCGGUAUUUCGCUGCUGAGUUUUGCACAGUGGUGGGGCCGUUGGCUCCGCGGAGUUAGCUGCUGAGGGGCGUUUGGAACCCGGUGCAACUUAGCUACUUUGGACCAGACCGGAACUAGGGAAGGACUAGGUUACCUCACUAAGAGGAAAGAAUGGUUUCUGAACAUCCAAAAGUCAAGAUCAAAGUGCUUUGGGAUUUUUUCUUUCUUCCCUGAAAUCUUUGUUUUUCAAGGGGUUGGUCAUGUUCAGGGAUGUGGCUGUAGACUUCUCUCAGGAGGAGUGGGAAUGCCUGGACUCUAUGCAGAGGGAUUUAUAUAGAGAUGUAAUGAUGGAGAAUUACAGCAACCUGGUCUUACUAGGCGGGCCUCUCACUGUUGUGGCCUCUCCCGUUGCGGAACACAGGCUCCAGAUGCGCAGGCCCAGUGGCCAUGGCUCACUGGCCCAGCCGCUCCACGGCACGUGGGAUCUUCCCGGACCAGGGCACGAACCCAUGUUCCCUGCAUCGGCAGGCAGACUCUCAACCACUGCGCCACCAGGGAAGCCCCCUCUGACUAGUUUUGCUUUGAUGCAGGAAUUCCAUGCAUUAAAAGAUAUUCAUUUACUUUUAAUCAACAUUUAUUGACUUAAAAUAAUGUUCUAAUUGUUAGAUAGAGAUGAUUUCAUUUUUUUUCACAGAACAUUACAAAUGUGUUUAAAUUUUUUUCUUUUUUACUUUAUUACGGACAGAGGAAUGGACGUCCCAUGAAUUCGUGCCCGAGCUUCAGCAGUUAUUAACAUGUUUUCAAUCUUAUUUCAUCUAUCCUCAUUGACCUCUGCAUCCCCCACCCUUGAAGUAUUUUAAAGCAAGACCCAGAUAUAAUACGUUUAAAUACUAUUAAAUAUAGAAGUUGCUUUUCACAGUUUCUUCUAUUUAAAAUUACUACUCUGAUGCAUCUUUAUUUAGAUGGAUAUUUUCAUAUUUGAUGAUCAGAUAUGAGAUUCCUGGGCCAAAAAAGUUUAAACCCUUUAAAGCUCCUGAUAUUCUAGCACAGAAAUGCAUGAUCCAGGGAAGCUGACUUUUUUAUUUUAUUUAUAUAAAUUUUAUAUAAAUUUAUACUUUUAUUUAUAAAUAUAUAAAUAAAAGUAUAAAUAUACUUUCUUUUUAUGUAAAAUUUUGCCAUCUUUUCCACUAGAUUGUUUAGGUUUAUUUUCUUAAUAAUUAAUUAAUUUUCAGGAGUUAUUUAUUUACUUAAAAUUGUGUUAAAACAAUGAAUAACAAAUGUAUUCCAUUUUCACCUUUUUUGAGUGUAAAUUCAGUGGCAUUAAGUACAUUCACAUUCUCUUGCAACCAUCACUGUAUUCAUUUCCACAACUUUUUCAUCUUCCCAGAAUGAAACUAUGUACUCAUUAAAUAAUAAUUCCAAUUCCUCUUCCCCACCAGGGCCUGGCAACCACCAUUCUACUUUCUGUCUUUAUGAAUUUCACUAUUCUAGAUAUCUCAUAUGAGUUGAAUCAUACAAUGUUUGUCUUUUUGUGUAUGGCUUAUUUCACUUAGUACCAUGUCCUCAAGUUUCAUCCAUGUUCUGGUAUGUGUCAGAAUUUCCUUUUUAAGGCUGAAUUCUGUUGUAUGUAUUUACCACAUUUUGUUUAUCGAUUCAUCCAUCAGCAGACAUUUGGGUUGCUUCCAUCUUUUGGCUAUUGUGAAUAAUACUUCUAGGAACAUGGGUGUACAAAUACCUGUUUGAGUCCCUGCUUUCAAUUGUUUGGGUAUAUACACAGAAGUGAAAUUGUUGGAUCGUAUGGUAAUUGUCUGUUUAAUUUUGUGUAUACAUACACACACACACACAUUUUCUUUAUCCAUUCAUCCAUUGAUGAACACUUAGGCUGUUUCCAUGUCUUGGUUAAUGCUGCGGUGAAUGUGGGGGUACAUAUAUCUUUUCAAAUUAGUGUUUUCCUUUUGCCUUGGAAAAAUACCCAGAAGAAGAAUUGUUGGAUCAUAGGUAGUUAUAUUUUUAAUUUUUUGAGGAACCUCCAUAUGUUUUCCAUAGUGGCUGCAUCAAUUUACAUUCCCAUCAGUAAUGACAAGGGCUCCCUUUUCUCUACAUCCUUGACAACACUUGUUAUAUUCUUUUUUUUUUUUUUUUUUUUUUUUUUGUGGUACGCGGGCCACUCACUGUUGUGGCCUCUCCCAUUGCGGAGCACAGGCUCCAGACGCGCAGGCUCAGCGGCCAUGGCUCACGGGCCCAACCGCUCCGCGCCAUGUGGGAUCUUCCCGGACCAGGGCACAAACCAGUGUCCCCUGCAUCGGCAGGCGGACUCUCAACCGCUGCGCCACCAGGGAAGCCCGCCCUAGUCUUACUUUUGAUUGUGACUUCCUACGCGCCUCAGUUUGAAAAGUGGGAAUCUUGAAGGAUCUGGGUUCAAAGCAUUACUCUAGGAGAUUAUUUACUCGUUUAUACCAGAGACCAGGUCUAUUCUUUAAUUAAUUUCUCAGCUUGAGGUGUCCAUGACAGGUAGUGUAAAUUUGAACUCCAAUCUUAUGUGAGGAUGGAUGUUAAUGAUUAAUUCUCAGGUGAGACUCUUUUUUUUUUCUUUUGCGGUAUGCGGGCUUCUCACCGCUGUGGCCUCUCCCGUUCCGGAGCAAGGCUCCGGACGCGCAGGCUCAGCGGCCAUGGCUUAUGGGCCCAGGCGCUCCGCGGCAUGUGGGAUCUUCCCAGACCGGGGCACGAACCCGUGUCCCCUGCAUCGGCAGGCGGACUCUCAACCACUGCGCCACCAGGGAAGCUCUCUCUCUUUUUUUUUUUUGAUGGUGGUAGUGGUGGUGAAAUCUAGAACCACAGCGGAGGAGAGCAGAUUUACCUGUUAGUCCCUUAACUGGCAGGAGACUUUUUCCUAGCCCACACUUUAACUCUGGGUGUGGCUUCUUUGAAGACCUGCGUUUUAUGCUGUAGUCUCAGGUUUCGUUCUUCACUUUGCGUAGUUUGAGACUUAACCUUGUUCCUUCACAUGGACAUCAAUCCACAAAAGCUCUUGGUUUCUGUUGGGAUGCCCCACAGCAAGGUGGUUUCAGUUCUCGGGUUUGCUUUGCCGCUCCAGUUUCAGUUUUCUUUUCUGUGUUUAGUAUGUUUAUAUUGUUUUUCCUUUUAGGAAUUUCCUUUACUUUCUUGAGUGCUCAGUGACAAAUUUAAAGAUACCUUUAUUUUGAUAUAUCCAGCAUUUAGCAGUUUUGCAACAUAAGACUACUUUUCACGAUAGAUAAAGUGUACCAUACUGCUAAAAGCAGAGGUUGCAGUGGGAGAGAUGAGGAAGAAUGUCAGUACCUGCAGUGUUUGCAAAAUACUAGAAACAAUCUAAAUGUCUCUCAGCAUCAGAAUAGAUCAGUAAAUCAUCCUGUUUCUAUUGUAUGCUAAAUAAAACCAUACUGCCAUGAAAUGAAUGAAUUAUAGCUAAUAUAUCAGGUUAAUCAUAAAAACAGUCACAGAAUACCAGAAGUAUGAGGCUAUUUAUAUAUAGUGUUCAAAUGUUGUCAUACUGCACAGUAUUUUAAUAAGAAUUCACAUAUAUAUAGUAAAACAAUAAUAAAAGGAAAGAGAAUGAGAAAUACAAAUUUCGAAAUAGUGGUUACCUGUAGGGUACAGGAAAGCGAGAACAAUUUGCUUUGGGAGGGAUAUUCAAGAAGCAUCAAUAAUAUUUGUAAUGUUUUAUUUUUUAAGCUUAGUAAUGGAUACAUAGUAUUCAUUUCAUUAUUCUUCAUACCUUUUAAAUAUGUGUAUAUACAAAUGCACAAAACACUCUCAUUUGUAUGUAUUUCUUAACAAAAAAUACUUUCUGACUAAUGAAGCUAAAAGGAGAGGAAUAAGGUGACUAAUUGGGAUGCUGUGUUAGUAAUUCACACAUAAGAUGAUGAUAGGUUAGACUAGGGGUCAGCAAACUAUGUAUGGCCAGUGAGCCAGCUGCCUAUUUUUUGUAAAUAAAGUUUUAUCAGAACAUAGCCACAGCUAUUCACUUAUGUGUUGUCUUUGGCUAUUUUUGCACUACAGUGGCCAAGUUGAGUAGUUGCAAUGGGACUGUGGCUUGCAGGCCUAAAAUAUUUACUCUCUGGCCCUUAAAGAGAAAAUUUGCUGAUGCUUAUGAUGUUAACAGUAGAAAUGUUGAGAAAAUGAUUAGAUUCAGGAUUUUUUUUUAAGGUUAAGCCAGAAGGAUCAAUAGUAGCUGGCUAUGUGAGCUUCUGGCAGAGUGGAGAGGGUAGAGCUGGGAAUCACCAGCAGAUGGAUAAUUUAUUAAGCAAUAAGACUGAAAGAGAUCACUUGAUAAAUGAGUGAAAUAUUGAGAGGAGAAGAGUGUCAAAGACUGUUCUCUGAGCCAUUCUUCCACUUAGAAGUCAGGAAAGGAGGAUGGUCCUGGUCUUCCCAAUUAUGGAGUUUUCCAGAAUGUGGGACUUUUCAGUGCUAAAACCAGGACAAUCCCAGGCAAACUGAGAUGGUUGAUUACCCUAGAUGGUAUCUAAAAGGAGAAUGAGAAAGACUGGUGAGCAAAGUAGAAAAUGACCAAGGUAAGUGUGGAUGUACCAGUAGAUAAACUGUCACACAUUACUGGAAGAACAGUAACUGACCACUAGAGUUAACAAAAGGGAGGGUUUUGGUGGUCUUAGAAAGAGUGUUUUUUCAGUGGAGUUAUGAAACAAAAAUCAUUCCUGAUUGAAAUGGCUUUAAAAAAAGUGGAAGAGAAUUCUGGGAAAAUGGUGGCUGUGAAUAUGUAAUGUUUUUGCUUUCCUUGAAUCCUCCCCAUCUCCCACCAAACAAAACAAACAAACCAAAUAAGAGAGAAACUAAAAGAGCAAAAUACAAAUCCACAGGUAACAUCUACAUCAAAGCUAAGUGACAAGUCACCCCCUCAAACCCUAUAAGAAGAUUAACUGGGAAUAAACUGACAGCCCUAAGAUCCUUUUGGUGUCUGCAGUUUUUAUGGGAUGAAGUAGAAAUAAAAGCAAGGGAAUAUCUGACAGCUCUGAGAAGAAGAGAACCCUCAAAUCAUAAAUUUACUCACUAGAAAGUACAGCAGCAGCUGAAACUGGAAGUCAUCCUUCUAUAGGCAGGUAUGUGAAAGGUAAAUACAGCACAGCUAAAGUCUGGGCCUCUUAAACUCUAGAAUCCAAACUACAGAUGCCUUUCAGGACAACAUCUACUACUCAGGAGACAUUUCUGGUAGUAGAAUCCAAAUUGAACAACAGGACAGGGAUGAUAGUGGCAAAGGAAGAAGGUGGUCUAGAUAAAAGUGGGGGAGGGGAGCAGAGGAGGCAUAUUUCAGGAAGUGUUUAAGACUACAGUUUUGAGCACUCAUAGAAAACCAUGAAGAGGGACCUUCAAUGCUACAAAGCUAUAAACUCUACCCUGGUCCAAUUUUUCCUCCUAAAUGUAGAAUAACACCCAUCUCAAUUAAAAAUGAGUAAGAAUUAAAAUGGAAUAUUAAAAAGUAUUCAGUUACCAUAUUAUCCAGCAAUACCAUUUCUGGGCAUAUACCCAAAAGAAUUGAAAGGAGGGGCCCAAACAGAUAUUUGUACACCUAUGUUCAUAGCAGCAUUAUUCACAAUAGCUAACAUGAGGGAGCAACCAAGAUGUCCAUCAACAAAUGAAUGGAUAAACAAAAAUGUAGUAUAAACAGACAAUGAAAUAUUAUUCAGCCUUAAAAAGGAAGGAAUACUGACACAUACCACAACAUGGAUGAAGCUUGAGGACAUUAUGCUAAGUGAAAUAAACCAGUAAGAAAAAGACAAACUGAUUUAAUUUUCUAAGGUAUCUAGAGUACAGACUUGGAGAGAGACUUUGUUUAGUGGGCACAGAGUUUCAGUUUUGCAAGAUAAAAAAUUUAUCAAGAUUGGUUGCACAACAAUGUGAGAGUUUCAGUUUUGCAAGAUAAAAAAAUUCUCAAGAUUGGUUGCACAACAAUGUGAGAGUUUCAGUUUUGCAAGAUAAAAAAAUUCUCAAGAUUGGUUGCACAACAAUGUGAAUAUACUUAACACUAGUGAACUGUACACUUAAUGGUUAAGAUGGUAAAUUUUAUGUUAUGUAUAUUUUACCACCAUUAAAAAGAAAAGGAUGAUGGGCCAAAAAAAGUGUCAAUACAAAUGAAGGCAUAAAAUUGGAAACAGAGGAAUGAAAAACAGGAUGCACAUAGAAGACAAAUAAUAAAAUAGUAGACCUGAAUCCAAACACAUCAAUAAUUACAUUAAAUGCCAAUGGACUAAAUACACCAAUUAAAAGACAGAGAAUGUCCAAAUGGAUAAAAAUUCAUGACUGAAGUGUGUGCUAUUUUUGAGAAACUCACUUCAAAUAUAGGUAGAUUAAAAGGAUAGAAAAAGAUACAUUAAGCAAACACUAAUAAAAAAGAACUGGAAUGGUAAUAUUAACAGGAAACAAAGACUAGAGAGCAAAGAAAAUCACCAGGGAUAAAGAGGGACAUUAUAUAAUGAUAAAAGGGUCAAUUCACUGAGAAGACAUAAUAAUUCUCAAUGUGUAUACCUAACAAGAGAGCUCCAAAAUAUAUGAAAUAAAAACUGACAGAACUGAAAGGAGAAAUAAUUAAAUCCACAAUUUUAUAUAGACUCCAACAUGCCUUUCUAAGUAAUUGAUAGAACUAGUAGACAGAAAAUCAGCAAGUAUAUGGAAAAACUAAAUAAUGCAAUCAUGCACAUGAAUAUAAUCAUGCAAAUGAAUAUAGUAUACUUUACCCAACAAUAUUAGCAUACACACUGUUUUCAAGUGUGCAUAGAACAUAUCUUGGAUCAUAAAGCAAACUUUAAAAGAAUUGAAACCAUAUAUCUUAUGUCCUUUGACAUAAUGGGAUUAAAUGAGAAAUCAAUAACAAAGUUAAGAGGCAAACCUCCAAACACUUAGAAAUGAAACAAGAUACCUCUAAAUAGCCUAUGAAUCAAAGAGGAAGACUUGAACAGACACUUCAUCAAAGAGGAUAUAUGGAUAGCAAAUAAACACAUGAAAAGAUGUUCAACAUCAUUAGCCAUUGGGAAAAUGCAUAUUAAAACCAUGAUGAGAAACUAAACACCUAUUAGAAUGGCUAAAAUAAAAUAUAUUGCAAUUACUAGGUACUGGCAGGGAUACUGAGCAACUGGAACUCUCAUACUUUGCUGGAAGGGAUGCAAAAUUGUACAGUAACUUUGGAAAAGAGUUUAGCAAUUUCUUAUGAAUUUACACAUACACAACCCAGCAAUCCUACUCCUGAGUAUUUACCCUAGAGAAAUGGAAACUUGCAUUCACACAAAAGCCUAUACAGGGUUAUUUGUAGUAGCUCUGUUCAUAAUUGCCCCAAACUGAAAACAGCCUAAAUGUCCUUCAGCAUGUGAAUGACACAUCCAUACAAUGGAAUAGUACUCAGCAGUAAAAAGGAAUGAGCUCUAAGUACAUAAAGGUACUUGCAUGGAUCUCAACAGCAUUAGGCUGAAUGGGAAAAAAAUCUGUAAACAUUACAUACUGUAUGAUUCCAUUUAUAUAACAAUCUGGAAAUGAAAAAAAAUCGUAGAGAUGGGAACAGAUCAGUGUUUGCCAGAGAUUAGGGACUAGGGGAGGGAGGGAGUAUAAAGUGAUAGCUUGAGGGAGUUUUAGGGGUGAUCGAACUAUUCUGUAUAAUUAUUGUGGUUAUAUGAACCUCUAGAUGUAUUAAAAUUCAUAGAACUAUACACAAGAAAGCUUUGCUCUGUUAAUUUAAAUUUUAAAAAUUUAAAUAAAAGCAAUAGGAAAAGAUUCUGGUUUAACCUUGCAUAAAAUUGCUAUAAAAGGGAUUAAAGGAUAAAAGAACAUUCCUAUAGACAAUGAGAGGCACACCAGCACGUCAUAUGUACAAACAUAGUUUGUACAUAGCUAGUUUCAAAACUAGCUAAAAAUGUCAGAAAAUGAUAGACACUCUGAAAGAACAAUAAAACAGAUAAACAAUAAAACAGAAUUAGAAAAAUUCAGAUAUGAGGCAAGUGGAGAAAAAAAAAAUUAAAGAUGGUGACAGACUCAGGAAAGAAUUAGAAAUAAAAAAUCAUUUCAGAGGUGAAGACCAAACUAGAAGGGAAAUAAAAAUGAAAAUGUGCAACAAAUAAUGCCUUGGGAGAAACAGGAGAUGGAAAGGAGAAAAAAUUUCUAAAUCAAGAAGGAAUUAAGGGCUUCCCUGGUGGUGCAGUGGUUGAGAAUCUGCCUGCUAAUGCAGGGGACACGGGUUUGAGUCCUGGUCUGGGAGGAUCCCUCAUGCCACGG